rnacentral:rRNA from 1 species
GACGGACCACACAAACGUUAUUCGGAAUUACUGGGCUUAAAGGGUGCGUAGGCUGUGCAGAAAGUUGGGUGUGAAAUCCCUCGGCUUAACCGAGGAAUUGCGCCCAAAACUACUGUGCUUGAGGAAGACAGAGGUAAGCGGAACUUAGGGUGGAGCGGUGAAAUGCGUUGAUAUCCUAAGGAACACCGGUGGCGAAAGCGGCUUACUGGGUCUUUUCUGACGCUGAGGCACGAAAUCUAGGGUAGCGAACGGG